rnacentral:rRNA from 1 species
CAGAGGCCACUGCUAUCGGAGUUCGAUUAAGCCAUGCGAGUCGAGAGGGUUCGGCCCUCGGCGUACUGCUCAGUAACACGUGGAUAACCUACCCUAAGGUGGGAGAUAACCCCGGGAAACUGGGGAUAAUACCCCAUAGUCUAUGGAAGCUGGAAUGCUCUAUAGUUGAAAGAUUUAUCGCCUUAGGAUGGGUCUGCGGCCGAUUAGGUAGUUGUUGGGGUAACGGCCCAACAAGCCUUUGAUCGGUACGGGUUGUGGGAGCAAGAGCCCGGAGAUGGAUUCUGAGACACGAAUCCAGGCCCUACGGGGCGCAGCAGGCGCGAAAACUUUACAAUGCGGGAAACCGUGAUAAGGGAACUCCGAGUGCCCGUAAACGCGGGCUGUCCAUCUGCUUAAAAAACAGGUGAAGAAAGGGCCGGGCAAGACCGGUGCCAGCCGCCGCGGUAAUACCGGCGGCUCGAGUGGUGGCCACUAUUACUGGGCUUAAAGCGUCCGUAGCUUGGUUGUUAAGUCUCUUGGGAAAUCUGUCGGCUUAACCGACAGGCGUUUAAGGGAUACUGGCAAUCUAGGGACCGGGAGAGGUGAGAGGUACUCCAGGGGUAGGAGUGAAAUCCUGUAAUCCUUGGGGGACCACCUGUGGCGUAGGCGUCUCACCAGAACGGCUCCGACAGUGAGGGACGAAAGCUGGGGGAGCAAACCGGAUUAGAUACCCGGGUAGUCCCAGCCGUAAACGAUGCGCGUUAGGUGUAUCGGUGACCACGAGUCACCGAGGUGCCGAAGGGAAACCGUGAAACGUGCCGCCUGGGAAGUACGGUCGCAAGGCUGAAACUUAAAGGAAUUGGCGGGGGAGCACCACAACAGGUGGAGCCUGCGGUUUAAUCGGACUCAACGCCGGGAGCCUCACCGGAUAAGACAGCGGGAUGAUAGCCAGGCUGAAGACUUUGCUUGACUAGCUGAGAGGAGGUGCAUGGCCGUCGUCAGUUCGUACUGUGAAGCAUCCUGUUAAGUCAGGCAACGAGCGAGACCCA